rnacentral:rRNA from 1 species
ACAUUACAUGGAACGCUUCCAUGUCGGGUUACGCUCGCAAAUAGACAUAUGAAGGUCACGCCCAUUUGCCCUACUUGCUCUGAGGGUUUUGAAGAUACAAAGCAUAUGCUUUUCCUUUGCAGUAGAGCAAAGGAGGUUUGGACAAGGCUGGGGAUGGAUGAUAUCAUUGAUAAAGCUUGCAAGGUUGACCUUGCUGGAGAGGCGGUGCUGGAAUACCUACUACUUCUGCCAGACCAAGAUUUGAGGAUAAUGGGUCAUCACAAUGUGCGUGAAAUGAUUGCUGUUUCAACAUGGUAUCUAUGG